rnacentral:rRNA from 1 species
UACAGAGGGUGCGAGCGUUAAUCGGAAUUACUGGGCGUAAAGCGCGCGUAGGCGGCUUUUCAAGUCGAUUGUGAAAUCCCCCGGCUUAACCUGGGAACUGCGUCUGAUACUGGGAGGCUAGAGUGCGGGAGAGGGAUGCGGAAUUCCAGGUGUAGCGGUGAAAUGCGUAGAUAUCUGGAGGAACACCGGUGGCGAAGGCGGCAUCCUGGACCGACACUGACGCUGAGGCGCGAAAGCUAGGGUAGCAAACGGG